ACUGGGUAAAGGGUACAUAGGAUCUCCCUGUAUUAUAUCUUAUAACUGCAUAUACACCUAUAAUUACCUCCAAAUAAAAAAAGCUUAAUUAAAAAGCAAAACACACGGAACCAUAAGGCCUCAGAGGUGGAAAAAACUCAAGAGAUCAGCUAGUGCUGUCUUUACCCAAUGUGUGAAUUUCUGCCAAGCAUCCCACAUGGAGAUUUACCUAGCUUUUUUCAAACCCCAGCAAUGGAGAACUCAUUCUCUCAUCAGAAAGAGCAUUCCAUUUCUAGACAAUUCUAAUUCUAUUCUGAAACAAGACUGGCCGGGCUGUAACUUUCCCCUUGGAGCCCACACAGAACAAGUUGCUCUCUUAUCCCACAACCUUUCAGUGACUAGUGUGGAGAAGAUUCAGUGAGACAUUGGAAGCCACUGGAGGCAGAGAUGGAGCUCCAGCUUAGAAAUGGGUCUCAACUACCAGCUGUGACACUUCCUGCUCACCUGGGUGGGUAGCCUUAGACAAGUCUGUGAAGCUUUCUGGACUCAUUUUUCUUAUCCUCUGAUGGGUAGAGUAGACGAGAUGCUCUCCAAGUCCCUUCCAGCCACAGCAUUCUUGGGAGAUUGGUUUUUUCUCAUGGUCAUCUGCUUCACGGCUUCCUGUGCCUCCUCUGCCUCCACCCCGUCUGGCCACCCACAUGCACUGAUGCCUUUCCUCACUCCUCCCCAUCGUCUGCUUCUCUCACCACUGGACUAGAGGAACAGGCAUACUCAGAGUUUCCCAUAAACACAGACUCUUAUGAACACCAAACAGAGAGAGACUAGGAGGGGAGGCAGCACACGAGCCAGGCUGCCGUGGGCUCAGCUCCUCGGGUGCCUCAGGUGUGUCCUUAUUGACCGCCUGCUCUGUCUGCUGCAAUUUACCAGCGGCAUCCAGGAAGCCGGACAGGGCAACUGGGACCCCUCUAAAUAGGUGAGUGAUUUCUUUAGGGCUCUGACUUAUUUUGAUUUUAUCUUACUUUUCUGGUCGGUUCCAAAGUCUUACCACAUGUCCUCCCCAUCCCAUUCACUCAUCAGCAUGUAACUUCUCUCAUUCCCUCUUGUUUUCCUACCCAGAUGAAAAACCACAAGUCACAACUGGCUCCCAAAGGAAAGAGCGAUCCUCUUCUUAUGAACUUACACAACUUUUCUGGAGGAAAACACCCAUCACAUGUUAUUGAGGGCUUCUGUUUCUGUUCGUUCCCUUCUGAUGCUUGUCAGGUUUUCACGUCGUACAAUAAAAAUGUGCUUCCUUACAUGGAAUGAACGGGCCAUGGCUAGGACUCAGCUCUCGCUAUUGCCAGAUGACUCUCCAGAAAGACGCAACUGAUUUAUAGGGUCUCCAACGCCAUUAAAUAUGCCAUUUUCCCCAGCACAGAACUGU